UUAUCGUUCUUGAUAUUUUUUCUUUUCUGCUUCAUAAUUUAUUUAUUUUUUUACAUCACGUUUCUUGUUAUUCUUCGAUGUCUUCCAAGAAAGUCGUCUCGUGUGUAACAUCUUGUCGUUCGGAAAGCUUUAUACGUCUUCCUCUUAACGGAUCCUGUUGACACACAACACAGUAACAGCUCCUAUUUUGAUACACUUUCAAAACAAAGGAAAAUUCUGUUCAGAAAAUCUGGAAGAAAAGUUUAUUUGGAUUGACUUCUGAACUAAUAUUGUAUAAGAAAUACAUAUAUAUAGUUAUAUAUAUAUAUAUAUGUCUGGAGAAAAUUGCUACGUGUGUUCUUCCCAAAUGGCUAAUCCUGCUGAUCUGAAUAUGGCUGUUGACCCAGAUAAUUCUGGAAGUAGUUCAGAAUCUAGUCCAGAUGUCAACAUAUAUGACCACUGUGGACAGAUUCUCCGGCUCCUGGGCGACAGUUUUUAUUGGAUGACAUGUGGUAGAAAACUUCAGUUGAUUGCCGACAAAUUUUAUUGUGUACAGAUAUUACUUCGCCUAACAUUGCAAGAUGCCAUGCCCUAUUCACCCAUUUAACCAUGGCUGUGAAAUUUUUUUUAAAAGUUGACUGUUAGGGCACUUACGGUUUUUUGUUUUUUUGGGGGGAUGUGGGGGGUUUUCAAUUUUUAAAAACAAAUUUCUUUUUAAUAUUUUAUCAUUUCAGUGUGAGAGUAUCUUUCUCUGAGAUGUUCUUCUGUUUUUAAUACAUAAGUAUUUAUGUUCACUUAAAAUUGAUUUAAGAAAAAAUUUCUGAUACCCUUUCAUUGGGGAUUUGUGCUUUUUUUUUCCUUUUUUUUUCUUUUUUGUUUUUUAAUGAAAAUAUUCUUAAUAGUGAUAUUCACUAUUUAAAGUAUGUAAAUGUGUAGCUCAUCACCUAUUUAAUCUCACUUUAAUAUUUUUGCCUCUAUCAAGGUGGCAAGCUGGUAGAAUCACACACCAGGCAGAAUGCUUAACAGCAUUUUGUCCAGCUUUACAUUCGGAAUCCAAAUUUCACCAGGGUCAACUUUGCCUUUCAUCCUUUCGGGGUCGAUAAAAUAAGUACCAGUUGAGUAUUGGGAGUCGAUGUAAUCGACUUAGCCCCUCCUCCAAAAUUGCUGGCCUUGUGCCAAAAUUUUAAACCAAUAUUGUUACCUCUUUCUACUACCCUGCUUGCUGGUAGAUUAUUAUUAUUUUAAUUGAAACAACUAUAUUUUGAGUGUAGACUCAAUAAAAUUCCAUAUAUGGUAAAGAAAUUACAAAAAUGUAUGAAAGAUAUGUAAACUAAGGUCAUUUAAUAUUAUCAUUCAUAAAUUUACAUGUAACAUCUUUUCUGUGUGAAGGCUUCUGCCUCUAAUUGUUAUGCACAAUGGCUCUGCCACUAAAAUUGUUACUAAUGAGAUUGUUGGUUAAAUUAGUUUAAGAUGCUUCUACACAAUAGCUGAAAAGCAUUGCCUUGUCAAAUUGUUUUUAAGGGCAAUUUUGUUGAUGAAAUAUUGUAUCCUGUGAAUAUUUGAUUAACAGGAGAAAUCAUACGCAAUGCUAAUUUAUUAAACCUUUUCUAUUUUACUGUCCUGUGAUAUCUCUAAUUUAUUAUAUGUAUUUAUUUUUAGUAAUGCUUUUUUUCAAUUUUUUUUUUUUAAGUAUUUCAAUUCUGAGCUGCUGCUAACCUUCACAUAAAAUGAUUUUAUCUUGCACCAGUAGACUGUUUACAUUUUUGCAGCAGUUCAAGGUUCGCCACCCCUUCCCCCAAAGAAUACCAUAUACUUGGUAUGAAAGCUUUCAGUAAUAAGUUAUAGUGUCCCUUCCCGAAACACUUCUAGCAAAACUAAAAUAGUCCCUGCUGCCUCUGAACAGAAUAUUCCCCAUCCACCCCACUGACCUUAACUGCUUUUCUCUCCCCCCCCCCCCACCCACUCUGUCUCUUUAAAGCUCUUACUAAAUCAUAUUAGUCAGUCUUCCUUUUCCGUAACUAAUUUUUUUUUUUUAUCUUUAAAAUAUUUAUUAAAACCGCUUCUAUUGGUCAUUUUAUCAUUUUAAAAUAUAUGAGAUGUACUUGUUUAUUACCUUGACAGUGUUUACCGUUUUAAAAAAUUAAAUUAGAAAAUUGGACAAAACAGAGAACAGAAUUGAAAAAUUAAAAAGAAAGAGAAAAAAGAGAAACCCAAACAAUUCACUGCUUUGGGUUGAAAAGUUGGGCAUGCUGGGAAACCUCUCUAAUGGCUAUUGAGGCCAGCAUGUUUGUAGCGUUGCCACGGGUGAUGGCGAGGCUGAUGCACUGGAACAUAUUUUCCCAUGUGUUUUUUACAAACACUGAUCUCACCAACUUCACUGUCAUUGUUGUUCUUCUAACUAGGAA
rnacentral:lncRNA from 1 species